rnacentral:rRNA from 1 species
UACGUAGGGGUCGAGCGUUGUCCGGAUUUAUUGGGCGUAAAGAGCCCGCAGGCGGCUUGGCAAGUUUGGGGUGAAAUCUCCCGGCUCAACUGGGAGGGUGCCCUGAAAACUGUCAGGCUUGAGUCAUGGAGAGGGAUGUGGAAUUCCAGGUGUAGUGGUGAAAUGCGUAGAUAUCAGGAAGAACACCCGUGGCGAAGGCGGUUCUCUGGAACGCAACUGACGCUGAGACGCGAAAGCGUGGGGAGCAAACAGG